rnacentral:rRNA from 1 species
AACGGACGCUGGCGGCGUGGAUAAGACAUGCAAGUCGAACGGGAUUUUUUUCUGUAGCAAUACAGAGAAAAGUCUAGUGGCGAACGGGUGCGUAACACGUGAGCAACCUGCCGUGAAGUGGGGGAUAGCUCGCCGAAAGGCGAAUUAAUACCGCAUGUGGCCAAGGAAGACAUCUUCCUGACGCCAAAGCCGGGGCAACCUGGCGCUUCUCGAGGGGCCCGCGGCCUAUCAGCUUCUUGGUGGGGUAACGGCUCACCAAGGCUAUGACGGGUGGCUGGUCUGAGAGGACGACCAGCCACACUGGAACUGAGACACGGUCCAGACACCUACGGGUGGCAGCAGUCGAGAAUUUUUCACAAUGGGGGAAACCCUGAUGGAGCGACGCCGCGUGGAGGAUGAAGGUUUUCGGAUUGUAAACUCCUGUCAUUAGAGAACAAGGCACACGGUUUAACUGGCCGUGUGUUGAUAGUAUCUGAAGAGGAAGAGACGGCUAACUCUGUGCCAGCCGCCGCUGUAA